rfam:Salmo salar isolate Sally breed double haploid chromosome ssa12, whole genome shotgun sequence.
UAUAAACCAAUUUGUAAGUCGCUCUGGAUAAGAGCGUCUGCUAAAUGACUUAAA